UACGUAGGUGGCAAGCGUUGUCCGGAUUUACUGGGCGUAAAGAGCGCGCAGGCGGUCGUUCAAGUCGCGUGUGAAAGCCCCCCGGCUCAACUGGGGAGGGUCACGCGAUACUGAUCGACUCGAAGGCAGGAGAGGGUAGUGGAAUUCCCGGUGUAGUGGUGAAAUGCGUAGAUAUCGGGAGGAACACCAGUGGCGAAGGCGGUCAACUGGCCCUGAACUGACGCUCAGGCACGAAAGCGUGGGGAUCAAACAGG
rnacentral:rRNA from 1 species